rnacentral:rRNA from 1 species
CGCAAGCCUGACGGAGCAAGACCGCGUGGGGGAGGAAAGCCUUUGGGUUGUAAACCCCUUUUCUCAGGGAAGAAGAAAGUGACGGUACCUGAGGAAUCAGCAUCGGCUAACUCCGUGCCAGCAGCCGCGGUAAUACGGAGGAGGCAAGCGUUAUCCGGAAUGAUUGGGCGUAAAGCGUUCGUAGGUGGCAAUUCAAGUCUGCUGUCAAAGACUGGGGCUUAACUCCGGGCAGGCAGUGGAAACUGACAGGCUAGAGUGCAGGAGGGGUAGAGGGAAUUCCCGGUGUAGCGGUGAAAUGCGUAGAUGUCGGGAAGAACAUCGGUGGCGAAAGCGCUCUGCUGGGCCGCAACUGACACUGAGGGACGAAAGCUAGGGGAGCG